rnacentral:rRNA from 1 species
UACGUAGGGGUCCGAGCGUUGUCCGGAAUUAUUGGGCGUAAAGGGCUCGUAGGCGGUUCGUCACGUCGGGAGUGAAAACUCGGAGCUUAACUCCGAGCCUGCUUCCGAUACGGGCAGACUAGAGGUAGGCAGGGGAGAGCGGAACUCCUGGUGUAGCGGUGGAAUGCGCAGAUAUCAGGAAGAACACCGGUGGCGAAGGGCGGCUCUCUGGGCCUUACCUGACGCUGAGGAGCGAAAGCGUGGGUAGCGAACAGG